rnacentral:lncRNA from 1 species
CAGUGGAAAUAAAUGCAGUUUUGAAUUCUGGAAAAAAUUCACGCACAAGUACCAUUGUACAUUUCUGGAUUUGGGAUUUCCCAAAGUAACAGUUGGCAUACUAAGGUGUGAAAGUUUGGAAGGGUAUACUGCCACUGCAAUUCAGAUAGACAAACCCAGUAUUUCUACUUCAGGUUUAUAACGUAUGGCACAGACUCUGACACGUCAUUUUUGACAAACUCAACCACGCGCAACCUGCAAACAGCAAUUUAAUGCUGCCUCAUUUCAGGAGGUAAGUGCAUCUUCACUUAUGCCAUGUUUAAUUUCUUUGCAUAGCUAUUCAGUCUUUUCCAAGUAGGACAUUACGAAGAGACCUUCCUCCAAACAUCUUGACACUCAAUUAAACUAACUAUCCUUGUUUGAAACAACUCUUGUCUAGACAUGAAAGCAGUUUAUUUUGUCUGAGUUCCAUACCAGAGAUGGUUUUGCCUGGAUUUUAUUUUCAUUUAUUCAGAAAUCCGACGCUCUAGCUCCAGACUACUUCUAAGUAUAGACAUAUGUACUUCAAUCUUGGAAGUGGUAUUUUAUUGGAUUUUUCCUGCAACCGUCUUACAUUGAGUGAGUGAAAGUACGACAGGGUGAAACCACUACCUUUGCAAAAAAUUCCUACAAAACCAAAGUUCUCAUUUUGGGUGAGUUAUUUCAUGCUGUAAAUAACAAAAAGCUAGACUAUUGUAAUCCUCAGCAUGAGACUCAAAUUUCCAAUUCUCACAUUUUGCAUUUUUUUCCAAUUUUGGGGUUGAUUAAGUGAAACAAACUACAGUUUUAAUUGAAAUCUGUUAUUUCAUGAACAUCAGAAAAACUUUAAGCUACCACAAACAAAUGAUCCUUAGUUUAUUCCAACUAACCCAAACACCUUGAGGGGAAACUUUUACAUGUAAAAGAACAAUAAUAAAUCUAUAAAGCUCCUAAAGUAAACUGAAUGAAAAUUAAGUUUGGCUCUUUUUUUAUGCAUAAAAAAGUGUGGUACACAAAAUGCACGAUUUUAUUUCUUUAUGGCCAAACUGAUCUCGCCCUUAUUUUUCCCUAGAACCCACUUUGCCUGAAGGACCGUUAGUAGAUCAAGAUGAACUGGAUAACAAAGAUAAAAGAGGAUAUCAGAACGUUUAUAAGGUCAUGCCCCACUGGUGAUGAUUGGCCAAACAGAGUUGUUGCAAUUGUCAAUGGCCAAGUGUAUCAAAGUGAAAUUAGUAAUGACCGAGCAAUUCCUGUCAUUCAUGCAGAGAGGUUGGCUUUGGAAUCACUGAGAAAACACGCUGAAAAGGAUGAGGAGAUUGUCAUGUACAUCAGUCAGUCUCCAUGUCGCACAUGCGCAGAAAAAAUAUUAGAAUUCCAAGAAGAGCACAAGGUCAAAUUCAUUAUCAAAUUUGCUAAUGUGUAUUACGGUCAGGACAGAGAUAACAGCAUUGGGUUGGAAAGACUGAACCGAAACAGAAGCAUUACUUUGCAUGCACUACAGGGGAAUGAUUGGAAAGCUAUCACCAAACAGAUUGCAGAGUUUCAUGGGGAAGGAGACUGGCAAAAUGCUGGAAAAGAUCCUAAGGCACGAACAUUUGCAUGCAUGGAAACCACGUUUUUGAAAGAUUGCUUCUAAUGAUGAUGAUGAUGACGACACACGUGAUUGGCAAACCGAGUUAUCACAAAUUGUAAAGCAUAAUCAAAGCAGCCCUCGGCUGUCUACUUUUCUCCAGGCACAUGGGUUACACAACUUAGAAACUGAACUUAAGUUGAUCGUGCAAACUCAUAAACAGGAAGAUUGGGAAAACACAACCGGGGUACUUGAGAAUCAUAUCGAAGAUCAGUGGAAAUACAGGUUGAAACUUACUCUGAUGAAGAAUGAACUAGAUCACGCAGAGGUAGCAGAGAUAAAGAAGUUGGCCUAUCAAAUGGACUGGGAAAGUAAAUUAAGAGAAAAUCUCCAGAACCACAGGAAACUUCACCUGUUCAAUGUAGCCAUGCAGUUGCUUCUGUUCUCAAGCAAUGACAAAUUUCGCCAAGUGCUGAGACAACUGUCCCCUCCUGACAGGAAGGGAUACUCUUGGUUGAUGGAAGUACUUCAUGAGUUUGGCAUUGAGGAGGGCAAACCAGAAUGGUUAGGGAAGCGGAUUGUUGCUGACUACGCCACAGCACAAGAGCUGAACACCAUUCUGACAGACAGGGGCAGACUGUUCCGAAAUGCAGCUAAUAAUAUUGCUUAAGACAUCAAUAUCCUCCACGGUCAAAGAAACAAAGAGUAACGACACUUGUGAUGCGAUUAGCUCAACAUGUACACACGCAGGUGUAGUUAGUUGUCCCUACCAUGGACCAUGCCACAGGAGCCCCAGUCCCCAACACUACAGAUCUAAUGAGUGAUCAGUGGGUACCAUUUAAACUUUUGCAAGAGGUCAGUAUGUACAACAGUACAUCACGACCUUAAAAAUGUAUUCAUUGCCCUUUUCGCACAGUUUCACUAGGGUAGUCAGGUCCACUUCUCAAAUUCCAGUUUUCUCCUUUUUAAAAAAUUAUUUGGUUGGCAAUCUCACUGGAAUGCAAGUAAGGCUUGUGUAAAUUAUUUAAUAACCUCUAACAUUAAAUCCAAAUCUACCAUUUGACACAACUUUUGCAUGACACGGAGUGACGCAAGCUUUGUUACAUUCGCAACUGUGCGUGCGUACAGACACGAUCACCUUUCCUGUGAAUUAUACAUUGAACAGAAAGAUGUUCAUGAACAAAGAUGUAAUUUUUGUUUUCAUGAAUUGACGUUAACCUUUGCUAAUUAAUUUAUGCUAUCAACCCGUUUUUGUACUAAUUACCUGGGUUAAGAGAAUGUUUACUCAAAGAAUCAUUUCAGGAAUAUUUUUUAUGUGAAUUUGUCACAAAUUAGUUCCUUUGACAGUUUUUAAAACGGAGAACCUUCUUUGGCAAUGAUCCCGAAAAACCUGUUUUCGUGAGAAGCCACAUUAGCGUCAUUUUUUUUUAAAACGGCGACAAUAAGGGUCAAAUGUAUUGCCUCUUCUCUACAAACUGUGCCAAAUGUUUCAAAUAAAAACUCUUUAUUGUUUACAUAUUUUAAGAUUAAAUUUGAGAUUAAUUUUUACUUAUUUUCUGCUUGAAAACUUCAGAACAAUGUAAAAAUAUUGAUAACACUUUGCUGACUUUUAUCGGUAAAUGCACCAGACAGACACUACACAGGUGGGCCCAUGAAGCAUGUGCCAGCCACUUGUGGUUUGGGUAUUUGAAUGCGAGACAAAAAUGGAUGACAACAGCAUUACUUUCAAGCUGCAUCAAUCAUAUGGGAUUUCAUAUGGGAUUAAGUUACCGCAAGCUUUCCACCAUUCUAUCAAUCAUCUAUGGGCAAAUACAUGUGUGUCUGCAAUAUUGUGUGAAUCAGAUCUCCACCACACAACCAGUUUUUAUUCUGCUUAAGAUUUUAUAAAUGUUCUUUUUUAAUUGAUAAAAUAGUCAUGGAUUAUUACCAUAAAAAAGCACCCCUGGUUGUUGACUUCAAGUUGUUGGGAUAGCGUGGAAAAGGGUUCUUAACGAAAGAAUAUUUUUGUUCAGGUCCAAACUAACAAUCUUUUCAUAUUUCUACACUUGUUUGUCUUCUUGAUAAAAACAUCCAGUCGAGUUUUAUAUUUUGUUUUUCAUUCACAAAGUAGUAAAUUUCCACUUUCAGCUUAUGUAAAUACCUAUGGGAACACAUGUAAUUUUAUGCCUUUUGGUUUGGUUUGGUUUGGUUUAUUUCCAUACAUCACAAUUAGAACAUAAAAGAAACAAUGUUAUUACAGAAUGAAAGAAGAGAUUAUGAAUGGCAGAUACCAGACAGAAAGCAAACGCUUGUUCAUGGCCUGGUUCCUUAUUUGUUAUAAUGAUAUCCAUAUGGGGCUGUAAUUACAAGACAGAGAAGAGAGAGUAAAAAGAGUUACAGUUGAAGGUACAGCUGAACAUUAGAAUUAUGCCAAGAUUUUCUUUGUCAUAACAUCUUAGGAAUGGUACAAUUCUAGACAUGACUGCUUCAUUAUUAAGGUUAUGAAUAAACAGUAGAAAUGUGAUAUACAUACACUAAAUACAUGUACAGUACAGGGUAAAUAAACAAUAUUACACUGGAAAGGAGGAUAUUCUUCAAGUACUUUUUAAAACCAUGUAUACUUCUAAAGUAUGGUAUUGGGUGAUUUUAUUCCAGAGCAAAGGGCCUUGAUGUCGAACUGUUUUAAGAAACAUUGUAGUUCUUGCCUUUGCAAUGUGAAACUUGGCUGCUCACCUAGUGAGUGGACUUCAGUAUUCCUCAGAAACAAUGAUUUGGUUUCGGGGGAGAAGAUUGUUUUCAAAUUUAAACAUUUUAGCUAGCAUUUUUGCUCGCAGUAGAUGCAUACUUCUCAAGAUUUAGCAAUUAAGUUUAAAACAUAAAUGUGAAAAAAUUACAAAAUUUAGAAGGUUUGAACUGUAGUAGCCUAUGUUACAUAAUUUUAUGCUCAAAGUUUUUGGUGAACGGUAUUAUGUUUUUUCUUUGAUAUGGAAACAUACAUUUUCAAUGGAUGUAUUCUGUUCUGCGUUUUAUCUUGACAUAAUGUUGGAAUACAGCAACCAAACUGUUUUACUUGAAGCUCCUUGAAGUGAUUGAACAUUUUAAAUCAGAAAUCAUGCAGCUUUCAAAAUAAAACCUUCCUCUUUUACUUGAAAACC